UACGUAGGGUCCAAGCGUUAUCCGGAAUUACUGGGCGUAAAGAGCUCGUAGGUGGUUUGUCGCGUUGUUCGUGAAAUCUCACGGCUUAACUGUGAGCGUGCGGGCGAUACGGGCAGACUGGAGUACUGCAGGGGAGACUGGAAUUCCUGGUGUAGCGGUGGAAUGCGCAGAUAUCAGGAGGAACACCGGUGGCGAAGGCGGGUCUCUGGGCAGUAACUGACGCUGGAGGAGCGAAAGCGUGGGGAGCGAACAGG
rnacentral:rRNA from 1 species